UUUUUUUUUUUUAAGAGAUUUUAUGACCUGGUAACUAAGACCUUUAAGUCAUGUCUUAUUUUACUUUAUAUUCUUAAUUUUAUGAAAAAUGAUAAUAUGGAGUGAAAUGAAAUGAAGAUGAUUAAUUUGAGACAUUAAUCAACUGGGAUGAAAUUUAAUGAAAUGAGAUGAUAUGGGAUGAAAUAUAAUCGCAGUAAAAUGGUGGUCAUUUACUGAGAUUUUUUCAGUGGACUUUUUGGAGGAACCCGAGAAGUUACGUCCAGCAGCUUUGUUUCAUUUUCCCACAUUUGUGCACUUUCACAGAUAUUAAACAUUUAAUAAACCACCGUUAUUACACAUUUAAACCUGAAGAAACACUAAAUAGACAAAAUAAAACAAAUCACACAACUUCACUGCUCGCGUUCCCGCCAAAAAGUCCCAGUAACUCUUACAAUACCAACCCUUAUCUACUACCCGCCAAAUGAGAAAAAUGAAAAAACCGUUCAUAGCUUUUGAGUUACUAUGUACCUACCUACCUACCUACAGUACCUACCAUAGAUAGUACACUAAGAAAUACCUACAUAUUCAAAAAUAUAAUAGAAUAAAGGAAUUGAAGUUAAUGGUCUCCGUCUUUAAAGAAGAAAAGUUUAUUUUCCCGAGCAGUCUAAUUAAAUUUGUAAUUUAAAAAUGGAAAAAACAACUCCAAUUGUGGCUGCAGCAGCUGGUUCAGUUAGAAAAAAGAUGGCAAAUCGUAUAGGUCGUGGAGUACCAGAAGUAACUGACGCUUAUUCUAAAAAAUGUUCAUGUAACAGAGAGAAGGCAACUGUGUUUUGUCGUUCUUGUGGUUUCUAUUGCAACGGACGUAUUCGAUUGAAAUGCCAGCAACAUCCUCGAGUGACCUUUCUGUUAGACAUUUCAGAAUGUCCAAAAUGCCAUUCAUCUGUAUUCCUGGAUGAAUAUAAAACAGGACCAUCUUAACUGCAACAAGUUUCUAUAACCAUUUCUUAUGUACUUAAUUUUUGAUAAAGACACAUCUAUAUUAUAGUUACAAUAUUUUUUGUGUAGUCCGUUCAUUUAUAUUAGUUUAGAUCAGUGGUCGGCAACCUUGUCAACCAAAAGAGCCAACUAAGUAUAGAUAACAAAUAAUUGAAAUUUAUUCAAAGCGCAAUUUUUUUAACAUAACAAUAUAUUUUUAUAGUCUUGAGCAUAAAAAAGUUUACUUGGCAAUUUGUUUACAUCUUACAAGGCAAUAUCUUAAAAAUACAUGAUACCGGCAUCUCGUUUUUACCAUCGCACCGCCCGCCACCGGAGUAGAGUUCAUCCAUACUACCUGGAGCCACUGCGGUCAUCCACAGUGCGUUUCCAGAGAUCUUUUUUGCCACGUACCAUCCGGCUAUGGAAUGAGCUCCCCUCCACGGUGUUUCCUGAGCGCUAUGACAUGUCCUUCUUCAAACGAGGCUUGUGGAGAGUAUUAAGCGGUAGGCAGCGGCUUGGCUCUGCCCCUGGCAUUGCUGAAGUCCAUGGGCGACGGUAACCACUCACCAUCAGGUGGGCCGUAUGCUCGUCUGCCUACAAGGGCAAUAAAAAAAAAAAAAAAAAAAAAAAAAAAAAUAAUUAGUAAUAUUUAGUGCUUAAACAUUUCGCACAGAACCACAUGUUAUUGACCACUGGUUUACACCAAAAACAAAUCAUUCUAACAAAGUUUUAAUUAUAGUAUAGAUAAUUAAAAUUAAUGAUGGGUAAUUUUAGUUUUGGACAUUUAAAAUUGAGUUUUAAAUGGCCAAAAUAUUAUUUAGAUCUUUAGUUCAGAGUUUAUUCUGUGAAUGUAUAUUAUAUUUAAAACAAAGUUUUUGUUAAAAAACUUUUUUGUUUUAGAUCAGUAUAGAUCAUAAUAAAUGUUCAUUGUUUGUGAAAUAAUAACUUUAACAAAAAAUAAUGAGUAAUUUUGUUAAAGUAGAACUUUAUUAUCUUUUUAAGAGCUCAUACUUUAGUUCAAGAGACUGACUCGUGGUGUAGUAGUUAGAGCCCCCGACUUGCACUGAGGAUUGUGGAUUCUGUUUCCACAUUGUGCAACCAUUCUUGUGAUGAACAGGUUUGUUUGCUUUCUCUAGUUGUUUAUGAUCUAUAAACAUAGGGAAUCUUAAAUUGGAGCCAGAUGAUUGUUCCCAGUUAUUUAGUUAUUAUUAUUGUUAUUCUGUAUUUCUAGGGUGAUUAUGAAAAUCUGUUUCAAUAAAAAUUUAAGAGCAAUUA